ensembl:lncRNA
CAUAAACUAGGGCCGCGGGCCGGUGCCCCGGUCUUCAGCCACCAGUGUGCAGGAGCAGCAGCAGUGGCAAGAGUUGAGCCCAGUCCAGCAAGCUAACGCUACAUGGCGCUAGCUGGCAGCGUCGUGCAGCUUUCAGAGUGCCAAAUCAAGACGCCGCACUCAACCGACUUCCCGCUCGAAGGAACCGUGUCUUUGGAAAGAGGCAGAAUGCAGGAAAUGAGGGACCACCAACGUUCCGUCACUGGGAUUUAUGGGAAAUGGAUGUCAAAGAUAAAGAAACGCUACCUGACAAGUGUUAGCAUGCGCACAUUCAGCUCGUGAGCUUUUCUCAUGUGAAAGCUAACCGAAUAACCAAUAAAAAACGAUAACCA